UCGAGCGAGCGGCUGCGCUCCAUCGUGACGGUGCCGAAGCUUGCUCUCGGGUGAGAGCGGCGGACGGGUGAGUAAUGUCUGGGAAACUGCCUGAUGGAGGGGGAUAACUACUGGAAACGGUAGCUAAUACCGCAUAACGUCGCAAGACCAAAGAGGGGGACCUUCGGGCCUCUUGCCAUCACAUGUGCCCAGAUGGGAUUAUCUAGUAGGUGGGGUAAUGGCUCACCUAGGCGACGAUCCCUAGCUGGUCUGAGAGGAUGACCAGCCACACUGGAACUGAGACACGGUCCAGACUCCUACGGGAGGCAGCAGUGGGGAAUAUUGCGCAAUGGGCGCAAGCCUGAUGCAGCCAUGCCGCGUGUAUGAAGAAAGCCUUCGGGUUGUAAAGUACUUUCAGCGAGGAGGAAGGCAUUGUGGUUAAUAACCACAGUGAUUGACGUUACUCGCAGAAAAAACACCGGCUAACUCCGUGCCAGCAGCCGCGGUAAUACGGAGGGUGCGAGCGUUAAUCGGAAUUACUGGGCGUAAAGCGCACGCAGGCGGUCUGUCAAGUCGGAUGUGAAAUCCCCGGGCUCUACCUGGGAACUGCGUUCUAAACUGUCAGGCUAUAGUCUUGUAUAGGGGGGUAGAAUUCCAGGUGUAUCGGUGAAAUGCGUAUAGAUCUGGAGGAAUACCGGUGGCGAAAGCGGCCCCCUGGACACAGACUGACGCUCACGUGCGAAAGCGUGGGGAGCAACAGGAUUUAUACCCUGGGAGUCCACGCCGUAACGAUGUCACUUGUAGGUGUUCCCUUGAGGAGAGGUUCGGAGCUACGCGUUAAUCGACGCCUGGGGAGACGGCCGCAGGUUAAACUCAAUGAAUGACGGGGGCCGCACAACGGUGGAGAUGUGGUUAUUCUAUGCACGCGAAAAACUUACCACUCUUGAAUCCCAGAAUUUUA
rnacentral:rRNA from 1 species